CCUACGGGUGGCAGCAGUGGGGGAUAUUGCACAAUGGGGGCAACCCUGAUGCAGCGACGCCGCGUGGGUGAAGAAGCGCCUCGGCGCGUAAAGCCCUGUCAGCAGGGAAGAAAAUGACGGUACCUGAAGAAGAAGCACCGGCUAACUACGUGCCAGCAGCCGCGGUAAUACGUAGGGGGCAAGCGUUAUCCGGAUUUACUGGGUGUAAAGGGGGCGCAGGCGGCGAUGCAAGCCAGGAGUGAAAGCCCGGGGCCCAACCCCGGGACUGCUCUUGGAACUGCGUGGCUAGAGUGCAGGAGGGGCAAGCGGAAUUCCAGGUGUAGCGGUGAAAUGCGUAGAUAUAAGGAGGAACACCAGUGGCGAAGGCGACCUGCUGGUCUGCAACUGACGUUGAGGCGCGAAAGCGUGGGGAGCAAACAGGAUUAGAUACCCGUGUAGUC
rnacentral:rRNA from 1 species